rnacentral:rRNA from 1 species
GACGGACGCUGGCGGCGUGCUUAACACAUGCAAGUCGAACGGUAAGGCCCUUCGGGGUACACGAGUGGCGAACGGGUGAGUAACACGUGGGUGAUCUGCCCUGCACUUCGGGAUAAGCCUGGGAAACUGGGUCUAAUACCGGAUAGGACUCCUGGCUUCAUGGUUGGGGGUGGAAAGCUUUUGCGGUGUGGGAUGGGCCCGCGGCCUAUCAGCUUGUUGGUGGGGUAAUGGCCUACCAAGGCGACGACGGGUAGCCGGCCUGAGAGGGUGACCGGUCACACUGGGACGGAGAGACGGCCCAGACUCCUACGGGAGGCAGCAGUGGGGAGUAUUGCACAAUGGGCGCAAGCCUGAUGCAGCGACGCCGCGUGAGGGAUGACGGCCUUCGGGUUGUAAACCUCUUUCAGCUAUGACGAAGCGCAAGUGACGGUAGUAGCAGAAGAAGGACCGGCCAACUACGUGCCAGCCGCCGCGGUAA